GCCAGACUGCACGUCCAAGAAUCCUUCAGACGGAGUCGGUGGGGCUGCUCAUAUGCAACAGUCUGUCUCCACUGGAAACGUUGUCACAUCCAUAAAGCCACAGGGAUAUGUCUCAGCUCUGACAAGACAAUGGAUGCAGGCGACCUCUUCCCUUCCACUUCCCCAAACAAAAUUUGAUCAGAAAUAAUUUGACUGAUUUCUAGUGCAACCAGAAAGUGGCAGAUGAGGGAAAAGCCUUCCCUUCGCUGAAAACUUCAGUGACUGCAUGUCAGCUACUACAAAGCCUGAUUCCAGCUCUAGGUUUCAAGGCAAUGAUCAAAUCUGGGCCGAGCAAACGACUUGUCAGAAGAUUUGUGCCCAUCAGCCAAUAUACCAAUGCAAUGCUGGUCUCGCUCUCUGCUUUUGGAUUUUCUUCAGGGCAUUAGAGGAGAGAGCCUCUCUGAGUCUCAUGCAGAAGAGCCUUUCUUAGCUGCAACCCUUAUAGGAGAAGAAACAUAUAUUUGAUGCUCUGAAACUUUCACCUGGAUGUCAAUGAUCUGGUUCAGUGCAGCGUGACGCUAGCCUUACGCUGCUUUGAUUUUGUUGAACUUGCAGCUGCAGAUUGGUGCAAUAUGUGCACACAGACUGAAAGCAAUGGCAAGCCAGGU